rnacentral:rRNA from 1 species
UAGGCCCUACGGGGGGCAGCAGUGAGGAAUAUUGCUCAAUGGGGGAAACCCUGAAGCAGCAACGCCGCGUGGAGGAUGAAGGUUUUAGGAUUGUAAACUCCUUUUGUUAGAGAAGAUUAUGACGGUAUCUAACGAAUAAGCACCGGCUAACUCCGUGCCAGCAGCCGCGGUAAUACGGAGGGUGCAAGCGUUACUCGGAAUCACUGGGCGUAAAGAGUGCGUAGGCGGGGUAAUAAGUCAGAUGUGAAAUCCUGUAGCUUAACUACAGAACUGUAUUUGAAAAUGUUACUCUGGAGUGUGGGAGG